rnacentral:rRNA from 1 species
AGCGGCGUACGGGUGCGGAACACGUGUGCAACCUGCCUUUAUCUGGGGGAUAGCCUUUCGAAAGGAAGAUUAAUACCCCAUAAUAUGUUGAAUGGCAUCAUUCGACAUUGAAAACUCCGGUGGAUAGAGAUGGGCACGCGCAAGAUUAGAUAGUUGGUGAGGUAACGGCUCACCAAGUCUACGAUCUUUAGGGGGCCUGAGAGGGUGAUCCCCCACACUGGUACUGAGACACGGACCAGACUCCUACGGGAGGCAGCAGUGAGGAAUAUUGGACAAUGGGUGAGAGCCUGAUCCAGCCAUCCCGCGUGAAGGACGACUGCCCUAUGGGUUGUAAACUUCUUUUGUAUAGGGAUAAACCUACCCUCGUGAGGGUAGCUGAGGGUACUAUACGAAUAAGCACCGGCUAACUCCGUGCCAGCAGCCGCGGUAAUACGGAGGGUGCAAGCGUUAUCCGGAUUUAUUGGGUUUAAAGGGUCCGUAGGCGGAUCUGUAAGUCAGUGGUGAAAUCUCACAGCUUAACUGUGAAACUGCCAUUGAUACUGCAGGUCUUGAGUGUUGUUGAAGUACUGGAAUAAGUAGUGUAGCGGUGAAAUGCAUAGA